UACGGGGGGUGCAAGCGUUAUUCGGAAUCAUUGGGCGUAAAGGGCGCGUGGGCGGUCUUUUAAGUCAGAUGUGAAAGCCCUCGGCUUAACCGAGGAAGUGCAUUUGAUACUAAAAGACUUGAGUAUGGGAGAGGGAAGCGGAAUUCCUGGUGUAGCGGUGAAAUGCGUAGAUAUCAGGAGGAACACCGGUGGCGAAGGCGGCUUCCUGGACCAAUACUGACGCUGAGGCGCGAAGGCGUGGGGAGCAAACAGG
rnacentral:rRNA from 1 species